GGACGAACGCUGGCGGCGUGCCUAAUACAUGCAAGUAGAACGCUGAAGACUUUAGCUUGCUAAAGUUGGAAGAGUUGCGAACGGGUGAGUAACGCGUAGGUAACCUGCCUACUAGCGGGGGAUAACUAUUGGAAACGAUAGCUAAGUACCGCAUAACAGCAUUUAACACAUGUUAGAUGCUUGAAAGGAGCAAUUGCUUCACUAGUAGAUGGACCUGCGUUGUAUUAGCUAGUUGGUGAGGUAACGGCUCACCAAGGCGACGAUACAUAGCCGACCUGAGAGGGUGAUCGGCCACACUGGGACUGAGACACGGCCCAGACUCCUACGGGAGGCAGCAGUAGGGAAUCUUCGGCAAUGGGGGCAACCCUGACCGAGCAACGCCGCGUGAAGUGAAGAAGGUUUUCGGAUCGUAAAGCUCUGUUGUAAGAGAAGAACGUGUGUGAGAGUGGAAAGUUCACACAGUGACGGUAACUUACCAGAAAGGGACGGCUAACUACGUGCCAGCAGCCGC
rnacentral:rRNA from 1 species